GCAGAUGAUUGUUCAGAUUCAUCCCCAGCUUUCUCUCCCAAACGAAGGAAGCAUUCGUAUACCGCUGUUGAGAAGGUAGAUAAGAAUGAGAAAUUCAUAGAGGUUGUUGAUUGUGAAGAUAAGGAAGAGGAUGAUUGGCUAUCUCCACCUCCUAAAGUUUCAGUUGAUACACUGAAACUUGGUGAGGAUUCAACUAUAAAGGAAUUGAGGUUUAUCCUGAAGGAACACAUUUGAUGAUUCCCUUGUUUGAAAGGCCUAUCGUUAAUGAUGUUCGUGCACGUCCCAAUCUUGUUGAGAGCUCUUCAGGGAGUCAUGAUCUCCAAAUGAUGCACUGAAGGCACCACCAAAAUCCAGAUAGCUUCCUUUGUAGGUUAACAAAUUCAUUAAGGACAGAAAUAAAUAAGGAGAUGCCUUUUCAUUAUAGAAGCUUUUUCAAGACCUACAUCUGGUUGUUGCCUUUUGGUAAGGUUUAUAGUCCUGCUGUUAUCUGCUUCACCAUUUACUGGUUAUAUCAGUAGAAUUGUCCUCCCAAGAAGAUGUCUUUUUUCAAUUUGUCGUGUGUUCCUAUCUUGAUAUCUUUGCAAUUACAGCAUGAGAUGGCAGUAGAGAGUGCAUGGAUUUUUGAUAUGGAUUGUUAUUAUCAAACUCUGAUUCUUGCUAUAAGGAUUUUUGUGAUUGGUGGGACACAUAUGCUCAAGAAGGUAAAGUUAUUGCUCAAAGAAGUAGACUUUAUUUUGCAACAUAUACAUUCAUCUCUAAGUUUAUUCAGAACUUACACUCAACUCUUCUGUUCAUAAUCAGUUUUGAACUUGCUUUUCUAGAUUAACUUGACUAAUCCAAAUCAAAAUGAAGACAUAAAACUUCCUUCAAAUACAAAAGCUGUUAAAGAUCUAUAUGUCUCCCCUUGUGGGAAACUUGUAUUUUUAGCUUCGAUGGGUAAAAAAUUAUCAAUUACUAGCAUGGGCUGCAACAAAGUUGUCAUCAGUUAUAAUUUACCGGUAAAAGUUUGUUACUUCUUGUUUACAUGUUUGUGGAUAUAUCUUUACUCAUGCUCCCUAUUUUUUUUUUCUUCUAUAUUUUCGACUUGAGCAUAGUUCUUUUGUUUUGAAGUUCCAAUUCCUAUGAAAAUAAUGAAGCCUUCCAGUUUAUUUGAUUGUAUUUUGCCAAGUGUCGUCUUGUCAGUUGAAGUAUUGUCUGAUGUAGUACCUAUUGCAUAUCAGUAUAACUAGGGGACCAUAUGAUACUAGUUCCCAAAAAUGAUUAGUCCUAGAUGACACUGAAAUUUAAUUGUUACAAAUUUGUCCUACCUAUGAGCAAGUUUGGUAAGACAUAAACAUGUCUUUUGAAAAGUAGGCAUGCCAAGAUCCGUUUUAUUUACUUUUUUCAUCUCCCACUUCUUAUUCUUUAGUGGUUGAAACCUUUUGCCCUCAACUUGUUGGCAAAUUUUAUGGUUUUGGAUUAAUCUGGACUGUGUUUGGAAAAGGUAAAACUAGAUCAGCUAAGUGACAACAGCAAAAUUUAAUGGAAAUCAUCUAGAUCUUAGUUAAUGAUGUUUAAGAAAUUAAGC